GACGAACGCUGGCGGCGUGCCUAAUACAUGCAAGUCGAGCGAGAACACGUAGCAAUACGUUUGUAAAGCGGCGAACGGGUGAGGAAUACAUGGGUAACCUACCCUCGAGUGGGGAAUAACUAGCCGAAAGGUUAGCUAAUACCGCGUACGCUUCUUGGACUUCGGUUCAGGGAGGAAAGCGAUGCCGAGGGUAUCGCGCUCUUGGAUGGGCUCAUGUCCUAUCAGCUUGUUGGUGAGGUAACGGCUCACCAAGGCUUCGACGGGUAGCUGGUCUGAGAGGACGAUCAGCCACACUGGCACUGCGACACGGGCCAGACUCCUACGGGAGGCAGCAGUAAGGAAUAUUGCGCAAUGGGCGAAAGCCUGACGCAGCGACGCCGCGGU
rnacentral:rRNA from 1 species